GGGCUACUAAGAUAAGAAAUCAAAUUUUAGAUUUAAUUACAUCUACAUAUAUGGUGAACAAAAAUAUUGGCAUGCAUAUGUGAGCAUAAUCAUACGAAACAUGAUAUUCAUCUAAUCUCAUUAGAUCAUUGCAUCAUAAAUUAUUUUAGAUCUGAACCUAUAUUUAUGCGACAUAUAAAUCAAAAGUUUUAGAUCUAAAAAUUUACAGAAAUAUAUUCAUAAACCUGUAUG
rnacentral:lncRNA from 1 species